rnacentral:rRNA from 1 species
UGGGGAAUUUUACGCAAUGGGGGAAACCCUGACGUAGCGACACCGCGUGAGCGAAGAAGCCCUUUGGGGUGUAAAGCUCUGUCAGCAGGAACGAAUAAAUGACGGUACCUGCAGAGGAAGCAUCGGCUAACUACGUGCCAGCAGCCGCGGUAAGACGUAGGAUGCGAGCGUUGUCCGGAUUCAUUGGGCGUAAAGAGUUCGUAGGCGGUUUGUUAAGUCUGAUGUUAAAGAUCGGGGCUCAACCCUGGGAGUGCAUUGGAUACUGGCAGACUGGAGUGCAGUAGAGGCGAGUGGAAUUCCCAGUGUAGCGGUGAAAUGCGUAGAUAUUGGGAAGAACACCGGUGGCGCAGGCGACUCGCUGGGCUGUAACUGACGCUGAGGAACGAAAGCUAGGGGAGCAAAUG